GUGUCAGCCGCCGCGGUAAUACGUAGGUGGCAAGCGUUGUCCGGAUUUACUGGGCGUAAAGGGAGCGUAGGUGGAUAUUUAAGUGGGAUGUGAAAUACUCGGGCUUAACCUGGGUGCUGCAUUCCAAACUGAAUAUCUAGAGUGCAGGAGAGGAAAGUAGAAUUCCUAGUGUAGCGGUGAAAUGCGUAGAGAUUAGGAAGAAUACCAGUGGCGAAGGCGACUUUCUGGACUGUAACUGACACUGAGGCUCGAAAGCGUGGGGAGCAAACAGGAUUAGAAACCCGAGUAGUCC
rnacentral:rRNA from 1 species